rnacentral:rRNA from 1 species
CCUACGGGCGGCUGCAGUAGGGAAUCUUCCGCAAUGGACGAAAGUCUGACGGAGCAACGCCGCGUGAGCGAAGAAGGUCUUCGGAUCGUAAAGCUCUGUUGUUAGGGAAGAACAAGUACGGGGGGAAAUGACCGUACCUUGACGGUACCUGACGAGGAAGCCACGGCUAACUAUGUGCCAGCAGCCGCGGUAAUACGUAGGUGGCAAGCGUUGUCCGGAAUUAUUGGGCGUAAAGCGCGCGCAGGCGGUCUUUUAAGUCUGAUGUGAAAUCUUGCGGCUCAACCGCAAGCGGUCAUUGGAAACUGGGAGACUUGAGUGCAGAAGAGGAAAACGGAAUUCAACGUGUAGCGGUGAAAUAAGUAGAGAGAUGGAGGAACACCAGUGGCGAAGGCGGCUUUCUGGUCUGUAGCUGACGCUGAGGCGCGAAAGCGUGGGGAGCAAACAGAAAUAGAUACCCUAGUAGUC